CUUUGGCUUAAAAAGAAAGACUAAAGCCUACUAACCAAAUAGGCUUUUGAGAAAUGCUAUAGAUCUCAUGGGUGAAUUUGAAUAAAAUUUUGAAGGAAAAAAAUGACUUGCAGUUUAGAGGAGAAAGCGGUUUUUCACAUUGAGCAAGCAAAUGAACUGAGAUGCACAUGGACGAGCUCUCUCUGAAAAGUCCCAAACUCAGAAAGGCACAGAGCCCCCUCAAAUGAUUCUGUUGGGUGGGGAAUGAUGAGAGGGUUGUAGUCCUAGGUCCCAGAUAAUUUCCACUAUCUGUUCCAUUUCCUGAGAGACAAGCUCUUUGCUGCUGUGGCAAACAACAUGGAUAGGUUUCUUCUGAUUACCUUGAAGGUUUUAGCAUUUCAGGAGACUCUUACAGAUGUAUUAGAUGCUGAUGUUUUGCUGUGAGCAUUUAGUUUCUCUUCACAUGUUACAAAUAACUCUGAUUUUCUCUUUCACUACAGGCUUCCCUGGUAGCUCAGCUGGUAAAGAAUCUGCCUGCAAUGCAGGAGACCCUGGUUUGAUCCCUGGGUUGAGAGGAUCCCCUGGAGAAGGAAUAAGUUACCCACUCUAGUAUUCUUGGGCCUCCCUGGUGGUUUAGCUGGUUCAGUCACUGGGUUGGGAAGAUCCCCUGGAGAAGGUAAUGGCUACCCACUCCAGUAUUCUAGCCUGGAAUUCCAUGAACUCUAUAGUCUAUGGGGUCACAAAGAAUCAGACAGGACUGAGCGACUUUCACUUUUUUUUCUCUUUAACUAAAAAGGAUUAUCCUUGUUUUUUAUUGUUUUCCAAAUCUUGGUUCUGACUACAUACAUGAGAAGAGAAAGUAAUCUGAGGAAAAAUAGUUGCUUUUCUCUUCCAGUAGAGUUCCAUGGUUGUGAACAGCCUCAAGCCCAAUCUCUGGCCUUAUUCCUAUGUUCUCAAGUCCUGGUUGUCUCCACAGAGUCCAUUUUCUAUGAUAUGCUGAAGUCAGUCAAUUACACUUUUUCCCUCGCCAGAAGUCACAAGGAGCUAUUUCUUCUGCAUAUAUUAUUUAUGAUCUUGAAAACAGCUGUUAUCUUCAUGAACAACUCUGAUCUCUCUGGAAAGAAUGAAUCAUCUAAGUGUAAGCAUGCAAACCAAAUGAACCUCUCAACGUCCUUGGAAUUUUUCUCACAAAGAAAACUGAAUAUUUUCCUAAAGGCAAAGUUGGAAACUGGCAAACCCCAAAUUUCUGACAACUAUUGCUCUGGCACUUUGAAGAAAGUAGAUUUGAUAUUGUCGUGGUCUGUAUACAAAGUUCCCUUCACAAUGAGGGACUUGAUCCUAAACUCUCCUGAGAAAGUUAUCCGGAAGUAUAAAAACAUUGCAUACAUUGCGAAGGUGUGUUUUAUCAUGUCAAAUGAGCCCUAUGAAACAGUGUACAAAGAUAUGACCUAUCAAUUUGAUAUUCCCCUUCCUCUAGAUUUGCUCUAGAGGAAAAAGCUGAUUUGAUUUGUGAUUUGUCACUUUAUGAGAGCUGAUUAAAUCCAGGAAUCAUAUCUUCCUCUUUUUUUUUUUUUUUUAAUGGGUCAACAGUUUUUUAAUUCAUUCUCUUCUUCCUCCCCCUCUUCAGUGAUCCCUUUGGCCAGUCAUGGAUUCUUAGAGUUUUCCAAGUCCUCUGGCCAAUAUUUCCUCCAGGAAAUGAAAAGCUGAAGAUGCUGUUCAAAGCUGUAUUUCUGCAUCUUGUCCUUGAAGUUAGAUAAACCAUUUUUCUCCCUAUUCUAAUAUUUCCAUGGAGCUAUUCAAUUUGCAUGUCAAAUAGCAUCUUUCCAUUGCAGAGAAUAAGACUGAUAUCAGAGAGAGGCCAAGAUGAGAGAGAAAGUUCUGACCAAGUUCACACCACUGUUUCAAGUGUCUAAAUAUUUUGCCCCCAUCUUUUCUACAUUUGAGUGUACUUUCCCUUUCAGUGUGAAACACUAGUACCUUCCCAGUUAACUUUUCUUUUUUGUGCUUAGAUUGAGUUGUUUGUCUUUAAAAAUCAAGAGGCCUGAUGGAUAGAGAAACUGUCAAUAGUACUGGUAUAUUACUGGUAAUAAAAUGGGGACAUGAAAGUAGGCACUGAGGUAUUGGACAUUUAGGAUUGGUGAAAGCUAUUUGGACCAUGCAAAAGCAAUGUAAUCAAACUAUAAUAUGCUGAUCCUUGAAACCCCAGACAUGUAUUCACACAUGCACAAAAGGCCAUUUAGGUGGCUUCUCAAAAAUAUGUCAGCUAUGUGUUGGUUACUUCUUAAUUAAAAUGCUGCUAAAGUAAAAUGUACUUGAGCCCAAGCCUGUCUGUCUGAAGAAAAAUCAUGGACAGCUAUUCAACCUGAUGAACCCAUAAUCAGAUAAGAGAUUACUUAGAAAAAGACACAUAUAUGUGUCUUCAAUAUUUUAACACAUUUUGGAGCAUAUCAGUUGAUAAGAUUUCUG
ensembl:lincRNA